UAGGGAAUCUUCGGCAAUGGGGGGAACCCUGACCGAGCAACGCCGCGUGAGUGAAGAAGGUUUUCGGAUCGUAAAGCUCUGUUGUUAAGGAAGAACGAGUGUGAGAAUGGAAAGUUCAUACUGUGACGGUACUUAACCAGAAAGGGACGGCUAACUACGUGCCAGCAGCCGCGGUAAUACGUAGGGCCCGAGCGUUGUCCGGAUUUAUUGGGCGUAAAGCGAGCGCAGGCGGUUAGAUAAGUCUGAAGUUAAAGGCAGUGGCUCAACCAUUGUAGGCUUUGGAAACUGUUUAACUUGAGUGCAGAAGGAGAGAGUGGAAUUCCAUGUGUAGCGGUGAAAUGCGGAGAUAUAUGGAGGAACACCGGUGGCGAAAGCGGCUCUCUGGUCUGUAACUGACGCUGAGGCUCGAAAGCGUGGGGAGCGAACAGG
rnacentral:rRNA from 1 species